AUGGAUAACUACCUACUUUUGUCCUUCAUACCUUCAUCCCCGGUUGCUCUUGUUAUUACAAGAUGCCGUCAAAUACUCUUUGAUGUUCCAAGAAUCCUUUAUGCUUACUACUUGGCAGUUCUUUGCCGCAUGAAUACCCCUACGAAUAAUUCUUCACCCUUAUCGAGGAACUGUUCAUUACUAGUUGAUCAUAUGAUCCACAUGGUACAUUGGUAUACUAUCCGGUCUUCCGGUAAUUCUCUGCCGGCUGUUGCUUUGCAAAAACUUGUCUGCUUGCAUUAUGGUUGCGUUCCAUAUCACUAG
rnacentral:rRNA from 1 species